UACGGAGGGUGCGAGCGUUGUCCGGAAUCAUUGGGCGUAAAGGGCGCGUAGGUGGCGGGACAAGCGUGCGGUGAAAGCCUGGGGCUCAACCCCGGGUCGGCCGUGCGAACUGUUUUGCUUGAGCACUGUAGAGGCAGGCGGAAUUCCGGGUGUAGCGGUGAAAUGCGCAGAUAUCAGGAGGAACACCAAUGGCGAAGGCAGCUCGCUGGGACGGUACUGACGCUGAGACGCGAAAGCGUGGGGAGCAAACAGG
rnacentral:rRNA from 1 species